ensembl:lncRNA
UCAGUGCAUUCUGUUGAUGUAGACAGCGUGAAAACGGAAACAACAAGUAUGCCGGCUCACUGUGCUGCAUACAGUUACACACUACGUCGUACGAUUGAGACAAGGAAACUUGGAAUGACUUUUCAUAGGUUUCCCAGAGACUAUGGGUUGAGGAGGAACUGGAAGUUUGUCGGCUUAGACCUGGUGUCAUUCCAUCAGUGUUAAACUUCCCGGCUCAUCUUGGAAGAACCAAAGAACUACAGACUCUUCACAACCUGCUCAAACUCUUGGUACAGGACCUCACCACACGGGUCAAGAAGGUUUCUGUCUCAUUUCUACUCUGAAGCUCACCUUCUCCUGCUCAAACUGCUGACAAAUGUUUCUGCUGCUCUAAAGUCUGGUCUCCAGAACUUCCUAAAAACUCUCAAAGUCUCUUCUGCUGCAG